rnacentral:rRNA from 1 species
AGUGAACGCUGGCGGUAGGCCUAACACAUGCAAGUCGAACGGCAGCACAGUAAGAGCUUGCUCUUACGGGUGGCGAGUGGCGGACGGGUGAGGAAUACAUCGGAAUCUACUUUUUCGUGGGGGAUAACGUAGGGAAACUUACGCUAAUACCGCAUACGACCUACGGGUGAAAGCAUGGGAUCUUCGGACCUUGCGCGAUUGAAUGAGCCGAUGUCGGAUUAGCUAGUUGGCGGGGUAAAGGCCCACCAAGGCGACGAUCCGUAGCUGGUCUGAGAGGAUGAUCAGCCACACUGGAACUGAGACACGGUCCAGACUCCUACGGGAGGCAGCAGUGGGGAAUAUUGGACAAUGGGCGCAAGCCUGAUCCAGACAUACCGCGUGGGUGAAGAAGGCCUUCGGGUUGUAAAGCCCUUUUGUUGGGAAAGAAAAGCAGCAGGUUAAUACCCCGCUGUUCUGACGGUACCCAAAGAAUAAGCACCGGCUAACUUCGUG